rnacentral:misc_RNA from 1 species
AAAAUCUGAAGUCAAUUGAAGCUUGCGAUUCUCAAAAUAGUACUUUUUGAAUCGAUCUUCAAGUCCUAGAGUUUGGUUUAUGUGAUAAGCCCUAUACAACGGCGUCAAAUCAAACCCUAACAUUCCAUUACUUCCAUUGCUGUAACCAUCCUUUCCGUCAUCACUGAUCCCAUUAAAUCCGUCAUCGUCUUCUUCUUCAAGAGCAUAAACACAAUCCCGAAGACUGAGUCUACUCUGCUCCUCAGCUUGUCGUUGCUUGAUUCUGAGCUCUUCUUCUCUCUGUCUUGAUGCUGAUGCUUGUCCGAUAGCUAGUUGCCCUAAAUUUCGGCUAACUACACGGAUCUCGACAAGCCAAUCACCAAACUCUUUGGUGAUUCUCCGUUCAAUAUGUGAACGAAUCGCAGGGAUCUGCUUCUCAAGCAUUCGCCGGAGAGUAGUAGAUGGUGUUUUGUUCAUAAACUCUCUCUCAAUCGAGUCCACACACUUCA